GUGGGGAAUAUUGGACAAUGGGGGGAACCCUGAUCCAGCCAUGCCGCGUGUGUGAAGAAGGCCUUUUGGUUGUAAAGCACUUUAAGCGAGGAGGAGGCUACCGAGAUUAAUACUCUUGGAUAGUGGACGUUACUCGCAGAAUAAGCACCGGCUAACUCUGUGCCAGCAGCCGCGGUAAUACAGAGGGUGCAAGCGUUAAUCGGAUUUACUGGGCGUAAAGCGCGCGUAGGUGGCCAAUUAAGUCAAAUGUGAAAUCCCCGAGCUUAACUUGGGAAUUGCAUGCGAUACUGGUUGGCUAGAGUAUGGGAGAGGAUGGUAGAAUUCCAGGUGUAGCGGUGAAAUGCGUAGAGAUCUGGAGGAAUACCGAUGGCGAAGGCAGCCAUCUGGCCUAAUACUGACACUGAGGUGCGAAAGCAUGGGGAGCAAACAGGAUUAGAAACCCCUGUAGUCC
rnacentral:rRNA from 1 species